CAGUAACGGCGAGUAAAGCGGGAAAGAGCUCAAGCAUAAAAUCUCCGGUUUACUGUAAUCGGCGAAUUGUAGUCUAUGGAAGCGAUGUCAGAAGCGUCAGCAGGUUCAAGUUCCUUGGAAGAGGACAGCAUGGAGGGUUACACUCCCGUAUGAGCCGCGCUGAUGUGAAGUACGACACGCUCUCUUCGAGUCGCGUUGUUUGGGAUUGCAGCGCAAAGCAGGUGGUAAACUCCAUCGAAAGCUAAAUACCGGUAGAGACCGAUAGCGAACAAGUACCGUGAGGGAAAGAUGAAAAGAACUUUGAAAAGAGAGUUAAAAGUACCUGAAACUGCUGAAAGGGAAGCGAAUCGCGUCUACUGUCCCUUCGCGUGCAUCGCGUACUGUGGCUUUCGGGCGACAGGACGUUGUGUCGCGGUGGAGUCAGAGUCAGUUCCAAGUGCGCGGUCUGGGUCGGGCGAUAAAGGUAGGAAUCCCGUGUAGCGGGAUCCGCAUGACUCUCCCGGGUCGGGCCGUGGUUGGGACUGAGGUGUCUACAACAUGCAAAUCAAGUGCGUUGCGCGAGCUGUCGCGCGAUUGGAGGAAAGUUCGCUGGAAUCCGUAUUGCCGUGGUGGCACGCGUGGCGAUUAACUUGCGCUGUUCGGGACUCUGGCAUA
rnacentral:rRNA from 1 species